ensembl:snRNA U6 U6 spliceosomal RNA
GCGCUCACUUCAGCAGCACAUAUACUAAAAUUGGAAUGAUAGAGAGAUUAGCAUGGCCGCUGUGCAUGGAUGACACGCAAAUUUGUGAAGCGUUCCAUAUUUUU